UACAGAGGGGGCAAGCGUUGUUCGGAAUUACUGGGCGUAAAGGGCGCGUAGGCGGCCUGUUAAGUCGAACGUGAAAUCCCCGGGCUCCAACCCGGGAACUGCGUCCGAUACUGGCAGGCUUGAAUCCGGGAGAGGGAUGCGGAAUUCCAGGUGUAGCGGUGAAAUGCGUAGAUAUCUGGAGGAACACCGGUGGCGAAGGCGGCAUCCUGGACCGGCAUUGACGCUGAGGCGCGAAAGCUAGGGGAGCGAACGGG
rnacentral:rRNA from 1 species